rnacentral:rRNA from 1 species
UGCUCAUUGGGAAAGUGGCGCACGGGUGCGUAACGCGUAUGCAACCUACCUUAAUCAGGGGGAUAGCCCGAAGAAAUUCGGAUUAACACCGCAUAAAAACACAGGAUAGCAUUAUCCAAUGUUCAAAUAUUUAUAGGAUUAAGAUGGGCAUGCGUGUCAUUAGCUAGUUGGCGGGGUAACGGCCCACCAAGGCGACGAUGACUAGGGGAUCUGAGAGGAUGACCCCCCACACUGGUACUGAGACACGGACCAGACUCCUACGGGAGGCAGCAGUAAGGAAUAUUGGUCAAUGGAGGCAACUCUGAACCAGCCAUGCCGCGUGCAGGAAGACAGCCCUCUGGGUCGUAAACUGCUUUUAUUCGGGAAUAAACCACAUUACGUGUAGUGUGCUGAAUGUACCGAAGGAAUAAGGAUCGGCUAACUCCGUGCCAGCAGCCGCGGUAAUACGGAGGAUCCAAGCGUUAUCCGGAUUUAUUGGGUUUAAAGGGUGCGUAGGCGGCUUAUUAAGUCAGGGGUGAAAGACGGUGGCUCAACCAUCGCAGUGCCCUUGAUACUGAUGAGCUUGAAUACACUAGAGGUAGGCGGAAUGUGACAAGUAGCGGUGAAAUGCAUAGAUAUGUCACAGAACACCGAUUGCGAAGGCAGCUUACUAUGGUGUGAUUGACGCUGAGGCACGAAAGCGUGGGGAUCAAACAGGAUUAGAUACCCUGGUAGUCCACGCCCUAAACGAUGAAUACUCGCUGUUAGCGAUACACAGUUAGCGGCUAAGCGAAAGCGUUAAGUAUUCCACCUGGGGAGUACGCCCGCAAGGGUGAAACUCAAAGGAAUUGACGGGGGCCCGCACAAGCGGAGGAGCAUGUGGUUUAAUUCGAUGAUACGCGAGGAACCUUACCCGGGCUUGAAAGUUAGUGAAUCAUUUAGA